CCGUUAUCAAGAAAGGCGGAGGGACUAGACCCAAUGAAACCUUGGCAACCCUUUACUUUAAAGUAGGUGCUACAUUCUAUUACGCCUAUGGCGUGAAAGAUAACAG
rnacentral:ncRNA from 2 species